GUGGGGAAUAUUGGACAAUGGGCGAAAGCCUGAUCCAGCCAUGCCGCGUGUGUGAAGAAGGUCUUCGGAUUGUAAAGCACUUUAAGUUGGGAGGAAGGGCAGUAAGUUAAUACCUUGCUGUUUUGACGUUACCGACAGAAUAAGCACCGGCUAACUUCGUGCCAGCAGCCGCGGUAAUACGAAGGGUGCAAGCGUUAAUCGGAAUUACUGGGUGUAAAGCGCGCGUAGGUGGUUCAGCAAGUUGGAGGUGAAAUCCCCGGGCUCAACCUGGGAACUGCCUCCAAAACUACUGGGCUAGAGUACGGUAGAGGGUAGUGGAAUUUCCUGUGUAGCGGUGAAAUGCGUAGAUAUAGGAAGGAACACCAGUGGCGAAGGCGACUACCUGGACUGAUACUGACACUGAGGUGCGAAAGCGUGGGGAGCAAACAGGAUUAGAAACCCGGGUAGUCC
rnacentral:rRNA from 1 species